rnacentral:sRNA from 1 species
GGAUUGCGGUCAUGGACAAGGAAGGCAAUGUCCUGGGCCAUUCCAGAAUUGCUGGGACAAAGGCUGUUAGAGAAACGCUAGCAUCCAGAAUAGUGCUGUUUGGGACCUCAGCUCUGAUUCCUGAAGUCUUCACCUACUUUUUUAAAAGAUACAGUACUGUAGUCUUGAAGAGAAAAUUCAGUCUCCAACAGAAGAAACAGAAAUCUUUUAUCACAGAGGGGUGUAGGCGUGAGUUUUAGGUGAAUUUAUGUGGUUCCUGCUUGAAAACCUUCCCCUCUCCAGGUUCGGUUUAGAGAACUUUGCCACAGGUCUUCUGGGGACCCCAGAGGUGUCUGUGCUGACAAGGCGACUUCAAAUUCCAUACUGAGAUCGUUCCCAGGCUGGCGUCUCUGGGGUUUUUAAGGCUGGCUGGAGAAGACAGUGGGAGGGUGCCCCGUCUGACACCCCUGGGGUUGCUGAGGGAACGGUUGGAGUGGGGAUCAGCCUGCGAAAGGAUACUGUGAAAUCACUAAUUAACUAAUAAACCUGUCUCAAGUUGAGGAUUUGAAGAAAGAA